rnacentral:misc_RNA from 1 species
AACGCACCUUGUGCCCCUUGGACACCCAAGGGGCAUGCCUGUUUGAGUGUCUUGAAGCUCUCAAACCCCUCUGCUUCCGUUCUUUUGAACCGAGGGGGAGGAUGGGUUUGGAUUUGGAUGCUUGCAUUGCUGGUCUUGUUUAUCAGCUCAUCCAAAAUGCAUUGGCAGAAGUUGGUCUGUGACCUCGGUGUGAUAACAAGCAUUACCCGCCGGGUGGAAUGGACUUUGACAAGCCAAUUGGUUUUCCUUUUGGAAGCAUAUAUUAUCUUUUGACCUCAAAUCAGGUAGGAUUACCCGCUGAACUUAA